rnacentral:lncRNA from 1 species
AUCACUAAGGGCGGGGGCACGGAUGGAAAUGAGGUGUGAGAGCUGGGAGGCUUCGGGGGAGGUGGCUGCAGCAUCUCAGUGAGAGGGGACAGUGGUGUGGACAGGCCCAGGCCCAUCAAGUCAUCAUCAGAGGCCGGGUGUGUUUUGAACGUUGGGUGCACAGUGGGUGGGUCGUGGACGACGACAGACGAACAGACAGACAGACAGACAAGGCCCUCAAGACCCGAGUGGGUGCAGAAGGCCCGCUGCUCGCUGCGCCCUCUGCUUUUCCUUGCUCUGCUGCUUCCUGCGCCUUCCUCCAUUGCAGGCGGCUUGGACUGGGGGAGCUUUUGCCCUGACUCUGUGCACCCUUCCUUCUCAGCGCCCCUCACUUCCCUCUUCUGUCCCCAGACAGAACUGGACUGCUGGCUGCUGGGGGUCAGGGUGUUCAUCCUGGUUGGAGGGCUGCUGCAGCGCUGUCUGCCUUAGAGGGCUUUGGGCUGCGCAGGCCACCCAGAUGUUUGCUUACAGUGUGUUUCUGACAGAUGUCGUUUUGAUGGACACCUGAGUGUAUGUGGCAGAGGGGGCAUGGUUUGACUCUGUUUUGGUAGGUGGGCAGGAAGGGCCGUUUGUGUGGCCUCAGGUGUGUCUGGAUUAAGUAAAUGGAGGGGAUACUGGAAAGGUGGGCUCUGGCAGGCUCUGGGCUGAGAAGGGUUAAGUGUCAGGUUGGAAGAAUCCAGGCAUAGCCUCUGCCUAUUUGUGAGGUUCCCAGUGUAGCCAAGGAGACACGCCUUACUUUGAACUUGAGCAAGACACAGCGAUGACUGAGCCAGCCUCUGCCCUCACCGAGCACAGUCCAGUGGGAGAAAUGACCCCACCAGCUGAUGGUCAUGGCCAGGAUGGGCGUGCAUCUGACCAGAGGCAGCACCUGACCCAGCCUGAGGUCAGGAAGGACUUCCUGGAACAGGGUGCACACGAGGUGGGGUCUGCAGGACUCAGAGGGUAGUUAGAACUCUGCUCAUCACUACUAACAUGUACUCGUAGCCAAGUUAGUGGACUUAAAACUUUUUGAACUUUUUUUUUAUUUAAUAAUUUUAGAUUUGUACAGAAGUUGCAGAACCAAUGCAGAGACUUCCCGUGCAGCUUCUCCAAAUGUUAGCAGCUCACAUAAUCGUGGUACCAUUUGUCAAAGCUAAAAAGUCGACUUUGAUCGGUGUUCUCUUACACUCCAGACUUUAUCCACGUGUCCCCCCUUUUCCACUAAUGCUCUUUUUCUGUUCCAGGAUCCAAUCAGAAUGCCAGGUUGUAUUUGUUCGUCGUGUCUCCUGGGUCUCCUCCAGUCUGUGACAGUGUCUCAGACUUCCCUUGUUUUUCAUGAUCUUGACAGUUUUGAGGAAUACUGGUCAGGUAUUUUGUUGAGUAUCCCUCCGUCUGGGUUUGUGUGAUAUAUUCCUUAGGUUGGGAUUAUAGGCUUUGGAAUGACUCCUCACCAGGGUGACAUUAACCUUGAUCCUUUCAUUAAGAUGGCAUCUGUAGGUUUUUCAUUUGUAGCGUUAUUAUUUUCUUUUUUGCUUCCUCUGUUGGUUAGAAGCAAGUCACUAAAUCUAGGCCUCACUCAAAGGAAGGAAUAUUAAGCCCCCUAUCCUGGAGAGAAAAAUACCAAAAGAAUUUGUCUUCAUAUGUUGAAACUACUAUGACAUAUUAGUCUGUUUUUCUCUGCUAUAACAAAAUACCUGAGGCUGGAUAAUGUAUGAAGAAAACAGGUUUGUUUAGUUCAAGUUUUGGAGACUGAAAGUUCAAGUUUGUGUGGCCCCAUUUGUUCAGCCUCUAGGAAGGUCCUCAUGGUAAAUGACAUCAUGGCAGGAGCCUAUAUGAGGGAAAUCACAUGGUGAGACAAGAAGCUAAAGAGUGGGGAGGGGCCAGUCUUGGUUUUUUUUUUUUUUUGCCGGGGGCAGGGGUAUACAGGGAUUGAACUUGGGGUCCCUCAACCACUGAGCCACAUCCCCAGCCCUAUUUUGUAUUUUAUUUAGAGACAGGGUCUCACUGAGUGGCUUAGCAUCUCACCCUUGCUGAGCCUGGCUUUGAACUCGCCAUCCUCCAGUCUCAGCCACCCAAGCCGCUGGGAUUACAGGCAGGCACCACCAAGCCCGGCUCAGUCCCAUGGGAACUAACUAGGGUCCCAUGGGAACUGCAUUAAUCACUUUGAGGGUGUUGCCCCAGUGACCUAACCAGCUCCCACUAGGCUCCACCUCGCCAGUGUUCCCCUGCCUCUCGCGUCACCACGUCACCAAGCUUCCAGCACGUGAACCUUUGAGAGGAACCUUCAAACCUUGUCUAAACCCCAGCACAGAGUAACCGAUAAAUCCAGGGAAGAUGCUUUGAAGCCGUGCAGUGUCCUGUUUCUCCUUCACCUCUGGCCUCUCAUGGUGGAGCUUGCCAGCUGCCGGUAUUAUGGUGGCAUCUUAACAACAGUUUCGGAUUUCCCUCUUUCUUUUCCAGUGAUCAUUCGGAAUCCUGUGUGGAAGACCUGCCCUUCUCUGUUUUACUUAUAGUGUGGACUCACGGAUAUUUCCUUUAUUCCUUGGAUAAAACCCAGCACUGUUACAAUUGCUUUUUUUGAUUUGAGUUGUUCUAACUUUGGUCACCGGGGCCCUCUCAGGCUGGCUUCUGUGUUCUUUGCUCCUCCUCCAGCCCCCCCUUGAGCACCUCACUUUCUGGCCCUCCAAGGUGUCCCAGGCUCAUGCUGGAUUUCCCUGUCCCAGCCCUAGACUCAGCUCCUUGCCCGGGGGGCGCUGGUUCCAUUUUUGGACAAUGACGUCAGGAGCUGAGGUCUAGGUGGGGUGUGCUUGUUGCCCCUGGGGUGUCGCCUUCAUCCUGCUCCAGUCCAGCCGUGGGCUCCACCCCACCCCUCCCCACCCCGCUUUCUCUGUAACUUCCCCCGACAGGAGAAACCUGGCCCUGGCUCGCUGGGCCCUUGUGAGUGCUCAUCUUAUUGGUCAGCUUGGCAAAACUUGGCAGUGUUGGCGCUGCCCGCCUUCUGAAGGCUUGUCCCCGUGGGCUGUGACUCUCGUCGCCUGAUGCUUCUGUGUUAUGCAUCUUUGAAAGUUCUUCGUUUUCGCCCAUUUCUUGUAUGUGGGGACUCUGUUCUCUCUCCCCUUUGUGCCAUUUUCCCUCUGUGCUCUGUUCCCUGUCUCUGUGGUGAUGUCGCCCACUCUCUGUCCUUAGCCCUGACCUUCUCUGAGCCCCACACUGGGGGAUCUUGAGGCCUUGUGGAUGCCCACCUCGCUGCAACCUGGAGGUCCUUGGACCCCCACGCGCACCGCGUCCUAAGUUCCCACCUGCUGCUCUUCUCAGCCCUGUCUCAGGGUGGCCCCUCCAUUCUCCAGGCUCCCAGAAGAAGCCUGGGCCUCAUCCUGGACACCUCCCUCCCAGUCCCCAGCCCCAGCCCCAUCCUGGCCCAUCAGCCUCUGUGGCCUGUCCGCUAGGAUUCCUGGACACUCUCCCUCCCUCCUCCCAUCGACUUCUUGGCCUUGACCCAGCCCCAUCCUCUCCUGCCUGCCUCUGGCCUCCUCCGCGUGCUCCUGGCUCCCAGUCACUUUUCUUCCCAGUUAACCCCGUUGUGGGUGGGCACUAGUUAACUAAAUAAGAAAAUUAAUUGCAUUGUGUUUUAGCUUAAGAGGAAGAAAUACUUUUCAGGAAUCACUUUUAUUACUUAAAGAAUUGCACAACUGCAGGAAGAGAACGGAAGCCUGUUUCUCUGUGCUCCGUAACAGAACAGGAGCAGAGGAGCACUGUGCGUGUCCUUGGCAGGCGGAGGUGUGGUCAGCGCAGAGCACUUGUCCUGCACGGGCAAGGCCCAGGUUCCAACCCCAGUGCCACAAAAAAUAAAUAAAAUAGCAGGUACCCUCAGUCGCCAUAUAGACUGAAGGAAUUUUCUGCCGUUAAUUUUUAUAGUCAUUGUCAACCUGACCUAUGUAAGGAGUCUCCACAGUGUCUCACAAGCAUUUGGAACAACCAAGUUGCUUGAAAGAAGGUUAAAGGUUAGCGGGGUCUUCUCGUCUACUCGGUGCCAGUGGCUGUCAGGACAGUGACGUCUGUUAAGGAACUUGCGAUGCAUCUGCUUCAGGACACCGCUGUAUUAAGCUGGGGGGCACGUGCUUUAAAAAUGACUGCCAUUGCUGCCUGGUGCCUUCUUUGUGCCCGGCACUGUGCCAAGGUCCUUGUGUGCGUGAACUCCCUGAUCUCUCUAUCUCAUUGGUGGUGGGUGCUGGGAUUGAACCUGGGGCCUGGUGGGUGGUAAGUACAUGCUUUGCCACUGAGCGACCCCAGCCCUAACUCAGCACCUUGACACACCCUCUAAGAGGGAGCUGUUAUUUUCUGUUUUCAGUGAGACAUUUAGAGUUUAUAUCAAUUGCUUCAGGCUCACAGCUAGUAAGUGGCCAUCGCAGGACUCAGCCCCAGGAGUCCUGGUCCCAUCCCGUGAGUCUGAAGCCACGUUCUUGACUCCAUUCUUAAAGGGGAAGGCCUUAUUUCUGAUUUGGGGGUUUCUUCUCACUAGAUAUGAAAAAUUUGAUACAAAUAUAUAUAGAGAGAGAUUCCAUAUUGGUAUGGUUAUGUUUUGGAUAUUUUGGGUUAACACUUUUAACUUCAUUUUAGGGCAAAUUUCAACUACACAUGAAACCAGAAAGAAAAUCUCAUGAACCCCCAGGUCCCCGUCAUCAUGUGGCUUCAACAGUUGUCAGCACGUGGCUGUUCUUGGUUCAUCCAUAUCCUGCCCUCUCUUCUCCCCUGCUCAGUUAGUUUAAAGCAAAUUCAGAUCUAUAUUUUUUAAAGGAUUUUUUUUUUUUUUUUUAAGAAGAGAUAACCUCCAGAACCUCCAGUUCCCUGACCCAGCCAUGCCCCUCCUGGCCGGUUGGCCUUCCUGGUUCUCCAUCCCCUUUCUCCUAGUUUUCCAAAUACAGGCAAGUCUGUUCAUGGUGCGCGGUCCCCUGGCUCGCGUCCUGUAACCUUAUAUUCCAGGCGCUUCUCCUCGCUGCUCGGAGGCCUGAAAGCGAUCCCUCUUAGUGACUGUAGACAGCCUGGGGUUGCUUGGCAGUCUGUCCCCUGCAGUAGGACAUUUAAUCUGCUGGUGGCUCUUUGCCAUGGUUGCAGUCUCUUUCCUUAUUUGGAUUAUUUUCUGGAUCCGUCUCCACUCAAGCCAGGUCAGGCCCCUUGACACGCCUCGCACAUGCAACUUCGUUAAGCACAGUGUUCAUGGUGGCCGAGACGGAACGCUGAUUUGGGUCCUCAUUACACUUGCCUGCCGGGAGCUUCACGAGGGCAGGAAUCAGGUCUGUCUGCUCCUGCUAUGUCCCCAGCAUGACCCAGCACAGGGCCUGGCAUGCAGUAGGCGCUCAGGUAAACCAUACGCUGAAUGAGUGAAUGAGCGGAUGAAGGAGUGAGUGAUUGCGACGCUCCAUAGCUGAGCAUUUGCCACGAGGGUAGUCGGAGGCCACAGAAGCAUUUUAGGCAGAACUAGACCUGGUUUUCUCAGUAUUGAAUCCUCGUAUAAAUCCCCUGGGAUCUUGUUGAAAGGGUUAUGAGUCUGAGAAGGGGCCUGAGGUUCUGCAUUUCAAACAAGCUCUCGAGUGAUGCCAGUGCUUCAGACAGCAAGGGUGCCGUCCAGUAUGGCAGCCGGCGACCCGGGCUACUAAGCAUGUGAAAUGUGGCCAGUGCAAAUGGAGAUGUGUUUUAAGUGUAAAAUACCCACCAGAUAGGACAGAUUUGGUACAAAAAAAUUUUAUAUUGAUCACAUGUUGAUAUGGUAGUAUUUUGGAUAUCUCAGGUUAAAUAAAAUAU